rnacentral:RNase_P_RNA from 1 species
CGAGUUGGCCGGACGGUCGCGGCACCUUCGGGGGUCGAGGAAAGUCCGGGCUCCACAGGGCAGGGUGAUCGGUAACACCGACCCGGGGUGACCCGCGGGAAAGUGCCACAGAAAACAGACCGCUGCCGCAGCGUCUUCGGGCGAGGCGGCAGUAAGGGUGAAACGGUGCGGUAAGAGCGCACCAGCGCCCGGGGUGACCCGGGCGGCUCGGCAAACCCCACCCGGAGCAAGGUCGAGAGGGGGUCCUUCGGGGCC